rnacentral:rRNA from 1 species
GACGAAGGGGGCUAGCGUUGUUCGGAAUUACUGGGCGUAAAGCGCGUGUAGGCGGUUGUCCAAGUUGGAUGUGAAAGCCUUGAGCUUAACUCAAGAAAUGCAUUCAGGACUGGAUGACUAGAGGACCGGAGAGGAUAGUGGAAUUCCCAGUGUAGUGGUGAAAUACGUAGAGAUUGGGAAGAACACCAGUGGCGAAGGCGGCUAUCUGGACGGUUUCUGACGCUAAGACGCGAAAGCGUGGGGAGCAACAGG